ensembl:lncRNA
GUCCUACGCAUGGUGAAUCAAUAAUGCCACAGGCUGUAGAGAGGUUAGCUCAUGGUAAGGCAUACUAAGUUACUGCCUUUUCCCAGAAUACUUCACUAGGCUACCAAGACACUUCUCCUGCUCCUUCUACUUCACUGGCUGCUCCUUCUCUGUCUCUUUUGUUGAAUCCUCUUCAUCUUACUGUCUUAAUGUUGGAGCGCCUCAAGGCUCUCUUCUUGGUCCUCUUCUUUUCUUUAGCUACAUUAUGUAGUUGAUCUCAGCCAGUCCCAUGACUUUAAAUACCAUGUGUAUGCUGACAACCUCCACAUUUACGUCCACUCCAGAUACAUAUAGCUAACUGUCUACACCUUUCUUCACAAGGAUGUUUAACAGACACCUCAAACUUACCACAUCUAAAUCAGAGAUUACAAAUACUCCCCUUCCCCAGCAAACUGUUUCUUUUCUAUCUCCCCAGUCUCAGCAAACGGCAACUCCACUCUCCUAAGAGCCCAGACCAAAACCCUUGGGAUCAUCUUUGACUCUGCUCCUUCUCUUAUACUAAACUGAUCAGCAAUUCCUGCGUGCUUUAUCUUCUAAAUAGAAUCAGAAUCUGACCAAUUCUCUCUAUCACUCUGACUUUAGUCCAGGCCAUCCUUAGUUUUCAUCCCAGCUAGGCUAAUCUCCUUGCUGGCUCUCUUGCUUCCCUUCAUAUAUUGCUCAUAUAGCAACCAGUCAUCUGUAAAAAAAUAAUAAUUUUUUAACCUUUUAAAACAUACACAUAAAUAAACAUAAAUGAUGACCACCGGCAUGCACCUAUCACUCAGCAUCAGAAACAACAUUUUACCCAACUUCUUUCUUCUAUUCCCUACACUCCCCUUUUUUGGUGGAGUAUUUUAAAACAAAUCCCAGUAAAGCCUUCCUUUUAAUUAUCUGAUCAAGCUGCUCAGAACUUUCCAGUUGCUUAUCUUCUCAGUAAAAGCCAAAUCCUUUAUGAUGACCUAUAAUUAUGGCCUAUGUGAUCUGUCACUACUCCCCCCACACCAUCUCCUUCGUCUCCUGUCCUCACUCUGCUUUAGCUACACCAGAGGUUCUCAAACCUCAGCACGCAUCAGCAUCUAGAGGGCUUCCUCUAGCAGACUGCCAGGCUCUACCCCCAGAAUUUCUGAUUCCGUGGAUCUGAAGCAGGCCUGGAGAAUUCGCAUUUCUAACAAAUUCCCAGAUGCUACUGCUGUCCAGUGGGCAUACUGGAGAACCACCAGCCUAACUGUUCUCCUUCCCGUUCCUCAACAAACCAGGCAAGAUUUUGCCUAAGAGUCUCUGUACGACUGUUUCCUUGCCCUGAGUACUCUCUGCUUUACUCAAGAUUCAUUUUAUUCCACCUCCGUUUAAAUGAUAUCAUUUGAAAGGCCUUGCCUGACCGCUCCUAAAACAGCAGCAUCCCAUCGCCUCACCCUGAUUUUCUUCGUUGCAGGCAUCGUUCUUUUCUAGUUUCUGAGCCCGUCUAGAGAGACAGCUCCGAAAGCAGAGACCUGGUUUUGCUCUCUCUCCUCUCCUAGUACCAAAACCUUGCCUAGAAGGUGCUCACUAAGAGUCCACCAAACUGAUCACAUAGUGAGGAAGGAGGCCCAGGUUCUUGCCUCAGUUUCACCGUUUGUAAAGGGAGAGCUCGGUUCUGCCUACCCUUCCCAUCUCCCUGGGUAUAGGCGCAAAUCAAAUGAGAAUAAUGUGAACCCGCCCGUGAAGCAGAGCAGUCAGCGAACACGAGCGCUGUUACGCCGCGCUUUCGGGCGCCCUUUCCCGGCACAGACAACACCUCUUCCCGUUUUCUAUCUCCCCCGCCCGGGGGACCCCCGGAGCCCGCCGUGGGCGGCCGGCGCCCCCGUCCCGCCCCGCGUCUG